rnacentral:rRNA from 1 species
CGGACGGGUGAGUAACACGUGGAUAACCUACCUAUAAGACUGGGAUAACUUCGGGAAACCGGAGCUAAUACCGGAUAAUAUUUUAAACCGCAUGGUUCAAAAGUGAAAGACGGUCUUGCUGUCACUUAUAGAUGGAUCCGCGCUGCAUUAGCUAGUUGGUAAGGUAACGGCUUACCAAGGCAACGAUGCAUAGCCGACCUGAGAGGGUGAUGGCCACACUGGAACUGAGACACGGUCCAG